AGGGAAAUAUCUCAGCUGGUGGAGAACAGGACUUGCAUGCCUGAGGCUUCUGGUUCAAUCCCUGGUACUCUCUG
rnacentral:tRNA from 1 species